AUUGAAUAAUUAUGUACUCUGCACACCUUGGGUCCAGUGUGGGUGCCUGUGAGAGUGGUUUAGACAAUAUAGAUUAAAUAUCCACGGCACUCCAAAAAUUCUCCUGCAAAAUAAAGCCCCAAAUU